UACAGAGGUGGCAAGCGUUGUUCGGAAUUACUGGGCGUAAAGGGCGAGUAGGUGGCCAUCUAAGUCAGACGUGAAAUCCCCCGGCUUAACCUGGGAACUGCGUCUGAUACUGGACGGCUUGAGUAUGGGAGAGGAAUGUAGAAUUCCGGGUGUAGCGGUGAAAUGCGUAGAUAUCUGGAGGAAUACCGGUGGCGAAGGCGGCAUUCUGGACCAUUACUGACACUGAAUCGCGAAAGCUAGGGGAGCAAACGGG
rnacentral:rRNA from 1 species